rnacentral:rRNA from 1 species
AGCUCCAAUAGCGUAUAUUAAAGUUGUUGCGGUUAAAAAGCUCGUAGUUGGAUCUCGGCAGGCAGGGGGUGGUUCGCUCCUUAGCGCUACUGCCCCAUUUGCCUGUGUGAUUGGCAGAGGUUUCGGGGUGCCCUUUAUUGCGUGACCCGGCGCGCUGUCAGGUUUACUUUGAAAAAAUUAGAGUGCUCAAAGCAGGCUAAAAUGCCUGAAUAUUCGUGCAUGGAAUAAUAGAAUAGGAUGUCGAUCCUAUUUUGUUGGUUUUCGGGACUCGACAUAAUGAUAAAUAGGGACAGUCGGGGGCAUUUGUAUUCAAACGACAGAGGUGAAAUUCUUGGACCGUUUGAAGACAAACUACUGCGAAAGCAUUUGCCAAGAAUGUUUUCA